CAUUAUGGUAUCAAUUAAAUGUAGUGUGCUUUUAGCUGUUACACUUUUAUUUUAAAUACAAGUAGGUGAUAUUUUAAAUAAUUAUACUGUCACAUGACGAAGAAUAUAACAAUUUGAGUGGAAUUAUCAUUGUAGGAAGUGUUUUGAAUAGUAAUGAAAGUGAUGAAUGUGUAAAUGUGCAAACUAAUUCUAAUACAUUUUUCUCAUAUUCCGAGUAUGGAACAUAUAAUCUAUUAUGAGCUUGCUGCAUUGAAAUAAUGAUGGUCAUUUUAUUUUGACUGAUGCAAAAUUAAAACAUGAACAUUUAUCGGAUGAUGCUCAAAACAUACUUAUGAAACUUUUAAUAAAUUAUUUAUUUCAAGACAAAGCUCAGGAAACUGAUUUUUAUUUUUGGAAAAUUUCUUCAAUUAUUGAAAUAUUUUCAAAUGAACAAGAGGUAGG